GAGCGUUCGAGAAAGUUCUUCAAGCCGGCCACAAACCCUAAUCUCGUUUCUCUUAUCUCUCGCUCUCUCUCUAACCAGAAACCAAAGAUGUCUCACUUCGGCAGGUCUGGCCCUCCUGAUAUCUCUGACACCUACUCCCUUCUCGUCCUCAACAUUACCUUCCGUACUACUGCUGAUGAUCUUUUCCCUCUUUUUGACAAGUAUGGGAAGGUCGUCGACAUCUUCAUCCCCAGAGAUCGAAGGACUGGUGACUCUCGUGGCUUUGCAUUUGUACGCUAUAAGUAUGCAGAUGAGGCACAGAAGGCAGUGGAUAGGCUAGAUGGAAGAGUUGUUGAUGGGCGUGAGAUAACAGUUCAGUUUGCGAAAUAUGGCCCCAAUGCUGAGAGGAUUCAUAAAGGAAGGAUCAUUGAACCUGUUCCAAGGUCAAGACACAAGUCUCGGAGUCGCAGUCCUCGAAGAAGGUACCGAGAUGACAAUAGAGAUAGAGACCAUAGGAGGAAAAGUCACAGCAGGAGUUUGGACAGAUAUGAUCGUGACAGGUAUCGUGGAAGGGACAAAGAUAAUCGUCGACGGAGCAGGAGUCGCAGUGCCAGUCCUGAUUACUCUAGAGGCCGGGGUAGAGGGCGUUAUGAUGAUGAGCGGAGGAGCAGCAGUCGAUCAGUGGAUAGUGCAUCCCCUGUUAGACGUAGCCCAAGUCCUCGGAGUUCUUCCCCCCGUAAGAAUUCUCCAUCUAAGGGUGAAAGCCCUGAUAGGCGCAGCCGUGAUGGUCGGUCUCCAACUCCACGAAGUGCCUCACCUAGAGGUAGACCUGCUGCUUCUCGUAGUCGUAGCGCAUCCCCUCGAAACUCAGAUGUUGAUGAAUGAACCUGCGGGUCGCAUGGGAAAUUUUAUGGAGACAUGACUAGUGCAUUUCUUAUGGCCAUGUUACUAAUGUUAAGGACUGACGAGCAUCAUGAGUGUUCUGGUCAGAAUUUUUAUGAGCUAGUUUUGAUUGCUAUGAGGGCUGAUGUCGAGAAUGUUGAUGUUGUGGCUGUUGUGGCUGUUGAUGCUGUUUGUAAAAUGUAGAUGGAUGAUCGUGAUUGCAAUUUCUCGAAAUUAUCUGAUGCUUGUUGCUGUGGUGGUUUAAAAGGUGGCACGAGAUGCACGUGUUUUACCUAUAGCUGAUGCUGCACAUGAAGUGGACCUGUUUGUAGUUCUCUUGCUGAUACUAAAAUCAAACAUAAUAUGCUGCUCUGAAUUGGACAUGCGAGUAGCAUACAAGUCCGUGACUGUAGCAGUGAAGUGGUAGCUGAUACAUGUUCUGUUGUAUGAUAUUCAUGGGUUCGUGAGUGACUUGUGCAAGUACUAAUGAAUAACCACCUGUAGCGGGCUGUUGCUGCCCUUCUUGAUGGGAUCGGGUCGGUAAUGAUACUAGCAGUUUUGAUAUUGAUGAUGGCUGCCUAGAUUUGUUGCUGGCUUGGGUCAAUUCCAAAAGAUCUGCUUUGACUUGUAAGCUUGCUUAAUGUCAUAUGCGGACAAAUAUGGCUUCUAUUUUACUGCCAUAAGUUAAACUUGAAAAUUAGCUUUAAGAGUUGCUGUUGUUUAUAAUGCUUGUGAUCAUCAAAUGAUUGUGCUUUGCUUA